rnacentral:lncRNA from 1 species
GAAAUACCUAAUGUAAAUGAUGAGUUGACGGGUGCAGCAAACCAACAUGGCACACGUUUACCUAUGUAACAAACCUGCACAUUGUGCACAUGUACCUUAGAACUUAAAGUAUAAUUAAAAAAAUAAUAAUAAGCCAUGUCCUUUUGCAUCCUAAAGUGCUCAUCCUCCUAUGUCCCUUAUCUCAACAUUAAAUAGAACUGCCAAUGGAGCCCUGCAGUGAAGAACUCCAGGGGCCACCAUUCAUCUUGCAAUAGGCAAAUGAGGACAAUUUACAUGAAAUACAAUUUUAAAAGUGCCUCCCUUGACUUAGACAGCAUGACAAUCUACCUAAUUACCUGAGUCAAAACCUCAUGCGUUAUCCUUGAUAUCUUUCCUUCAUAUCUAAUUGCUGUCAACUCCAGUUCCCGAAUCCCUCACAAAUCCAUUCUCCUCUCAAUGUCUAAUGCAACUCCCCUGAUUUAGAUGUCAUCAUCGUCCUGGUUCUUUUAAUUUAAAAUCCAAACCUCUUCAUACUAUUUUCAGAAUCUUCAGAUACUGUUCCCACUUGCCACUCUGGCUUCCACUCUAGCUACUUUCCCUUAAUCUUCUACAAUCCAGUCAUACUGAAAGUUUCUCAGUUGCUCUAAGCUUUCUCUUACCUUUGUGAUUUUAGUCAUGCUUUUUCCUCAACUCAAAUAUUUGUGUGUGUGUGUGUGUGUGUGUGUGUGUGUGUGUGUGUUUCUUCUCUUUACCAAGAAGCCUUAACUUGGGCAUCCAUAGUAUUCUAGGCAACUAUUUGAGUAUAACCGGUUUACUUACGAGGUGAUCCCAGGAGAAAUGUUAGGAAAAUGAGUGAGAUAGAAGGAAAGGGAGACAAUACAGAGUAUAUUAAUGAGCAUGUUACCACUAUGGGCAAUGGAUACUCGAUUCUCCUAGGAACAUUUGGGAUAUAAUACAGAACACACCCCAGAAUAACCGCAUACAAGAAGCAAGGAAGCUGGGCUACCCAUCUUCUUUCCCCUGUUGUCCUUGAUUGACAGCAUUUCCUACAGAGUCAGUUAUUCAGCCCGAUCAUUGGACAGGUUUCACAGCUAGAGAAAUCCCUCAGUCAGAGUAUGGCAGGGCUGAAAGUGGGACAUCAACAUAUGCUAAGAACAUAUAUGGGAAGCCAAACCUGAUAGCUGAAAACUCUUUUAAUAUUCCUCUUCUGGGACCCUUUUGAAUUAUUAUGUCAUUUAUCAAGUUUUAGUGGGAGAAAUUACAAUUAAACAACAAAUUGCAAUAAACCAUAUGUCCAGUUCAACAUUGUUUCCCUAAAACUUGGCCCAUAGUUGGUACUCCCUAUACCUUUUGACUAAACUCUUUUUUUUUGUUUUACAGUAUAUUUUACAUUUGGUAGCAAUAAUUACAUCCCUUUCAAAGUUUUUCCAGGUGUUUCAGACUUUUAUUCACUGCUCUCUGCCUCAUUUAGGCAGAAAAAUUGGUAUUUGGAAAAGAUUUUAAAGGAAAGUAUAAGUCACUGUUUGAGAUAUCAAAUAGUAAUUGUUAAAAUAUGGUUUUCUUACAUGAAGUACCCUGUGCUCUUAAUCAUUAACCCUCUAUCCUGAAAUACUGUUUCAAAUACUUUCUUUGAAUGUUCACAUUUGAGAAAUUCCAAAAGACAAACAUUUAUCCUAUAAAAUAAAUGAAAAUGUCAUUUAUAAUAUGUUCCAAGUGCUUGGCACCUAUGCUGAUUGGAUCUAAUCAUAUUGUCUGAUGAGAUUUCCUCUCCAGAGAUAACUAAUUGGAAUGACAUAGUGUAACAGUGAGCUCUGGGUGAAAUAAUCAGACAUUUCGAGCUGAAUGAAUGGCUUUUGUGUCAGAUGUUGCAGAGCUAAAACAUUAUGUGUUGCUUCCUGACUUAUGAACCCCAGAGUUUAAUUCUUCUCUUUUUCUUCACAGAUUCCAUUUUUUGGCAAGAAAAGUCAUCACUUACUUCUGCUGCCCCAAACGUUUCAUUGUUCCUCAUUGCCUCAAGGAAAAAGUCAAUCAUCGCUAUCCUGAAGAGCACUGGUGCCCUAGUUUUUGUUGUUGCCAUUUCUCAUCUUCAAUAUUCUGCUGGUGAUAUGUAAAUAGUAUUUGUCAGGGUCCAGUUUAUUUUAGAAUGCCAAUCGCUGUACUUGGUAUUUCACAUAAAAUAUUGUAUUUAACCCUGAGGGCAAGGGAGAUAAUUAUUUACGUUGACAACAGAGUUAGAUUGAAUAAGGUAUGGAAAUCCUGUAGAGAUACACCUAUGAUGUGAUUCCAAGUCGAACUCAAAUCCAGACGCUUUACCCUUUACGCCCUCCUACUCCUCCAAGAUUCCUCUGAAGGACAACUUCAUUUCAGGCAUUAACAAAAAGCAUCUCACUGUAAUAUUGCAGAGUCCCUACAAUAAGCAUUUUACAGAUGAGAAAACUAAGGCACUACAACAUUAAGAACUUCGCAUAAAGGGACACAGACACUAAGUGGCGGAGUCCUGAUUCAAACCAUAUGUAUCUGAAUUCACGUUCUAUUCUUUUUCCACUCUACUAUAUAGCCUCUUUAUCUGGAAAACUACCCCCUUCAUUCUUCCCCAGUCAAAACUCUACCUAUUCUCCAAGUUACAGCUCCAAUACAACUUCUCUGAUCUUCCUCUGCACUUCAAUAGAACUUACCACACUUGGCUAAUGAGUAUUGCCUUGUACUGUGAUGACAUAAAAUAAAAAUAAAAAUGUGAUGCUGGGUGUAGUGGCUCACACCUGUAAUCCUAGCACUUUGGGAGGCCAAGGCAGGCGGAUGACCUGAGCUCAGGAGCUUGAGAAGCCUGGGCAACAUGGCAAAAUCCCAUCUCUACUAAAAGUCCAAAAAAUUAGCUGGGUAUGGUGGUGCACACCUGUAAUCACAGAUACUUGGGAGGCUGAGUCACGAGAAUUGCUUGAACCCAGGAGGUGGAGGUUACAGUGAGCUGAGAUCACACCACCACAGCACUCUAGCUUGGGCAACAGAGUGAGACUCUGUCUCAAAAAACAAGUAAACAAACAAACAAACAAAAGAUAUGAACAAUAAACUAUUAGAGAAUAUUGAAUAUUUGUACAUACACUACCUCAUUUGAUCCUAAAAUUUAUCCUUAUUAUUCCAGUUUUACAGAAGGGAUUGAAAUGACUUUCUCAGAAAUUACUCAUGCCGUCUGCUAUGUUGUCAAGUUUUGACUUGAACCUGUCUAAAAACAUAUAUAUUUUGCUUUGGCAAAAAUCUAGACUUAGAUAAUAAAAUACUAAGCUUAACUUGAAAUCUUCCAAUGGCAAGCUUCGAUAUAUCAGGCUUUAACAUACAUUUUCUUGUUGAAUCCUUCAUAUAGUUGUAGGAAGUAGUUCAUUUGCUUAUAACCUCACAGCUUUUUCUAUACUGUUGUUGAUUCCUUCAACAAAAAUGUAUUAAAUACCUGUUAUAUACUCAAUAUGGUACCAAAAAGGGUAAAUCUGCUUUAGAAUGUUUUAAUAAUUUCCCAUUUUUCUUAUGUUUAGAACCAAAAUUUCUAAUAUGAUGGGUUCCUUCCUACCUCUCCAGCCUAAACUUAUGCAGCAUUAGAAAUUGUCCCAAGCAUCCUAGCCACGAUGACCUUCUUGCAAUUCUCAGAAUUAUUAAAUUCUAUAUUGCAGAUGUAGGGGAAGAAUAACUUCCCAUCUGCCCUCUGAGGGAUCAAUAAUUAAGUCGAUGAAAUAAACUGACAACAGGCAGAGUAACAUGAGAAAAGGUAUACAAAUUUAUUAUAUGCAAGGAAACAUCACAUGAAAAAAAUCAAAUACUCAAAAACCCAGUGAGAUCUAGAAGCUUAGGUGCAAAUCUUCCUAGCGGAGUGUGAGGGGGAGAAGUAGGCAACUUAGAACAGAGUAAAUUAUUUUGUCAAGAUGAAUAGGCCCUCAGAAAAACACGUGAAAGCCUGUGACAAAGUCUGUCUGGGCAUAGUGUGGACCUCUAGCUUCCUCUCCUGUGAUACAAGCUGAUCUUCCCUGGUUGAUGAGAUUCCUGGGAAGAGAAUUUACACAGUUGAGUUCCUUUUGAAGGACCUAUCUUUAGGCAGACAGAAGAAGUUCAGAGAAAGCCUCUUCCUGCAUUUACCAUUCCCCAAGUAUGCUUAGUUUGAAGUAAUUUGCAUACCAAAACAAUAUAUCUUGGGUAGCAUUCCUGAACUCUUUCAUAGCAUACACUCCAUAGUGCUUUUUAAGUGCUGGGUGCUAUUCAUAAUAGUUUACAAAUAUUUACUAUUUUAAUUAUAACAACCACCUUUAGGGUGGGUACCAUUAAAGCCAAUUUAUAGAGGAGGAAACUGUGGCACAGAAAUUAAAUAGUUUGUAUAACGUCACACAGCUUAAAUAUUAUGCAUCAAGCUCUCUGGUCAAGCAUGCCCUGACCUCCUUUGAACUUGAUCUAUUCCCUGCCAGUAACAUACCUUUUUCUUCAGACUGCAGAUGAAGUUACUCUUCUCUGAAAAGGUUCUUCCAGUUUAUUAUUUUUUUUUUGUACAUACUCAUAUAAUUACAUUUGUUUUCACCUUUGCCCGGGAAAUGUGCAAUUCGUGGAGGGUAUGUGUUCACCUCCAUAUCCCUAGCAUGGUAUUUGCCACAUAGUAGGCACCCAACUAUGUGCUGAAUUAAUAAAUUUGGAUUGAUUAAAUAAGUGUAUCAGGUACCACAGUGCAUACUAUCAGGUAUAAUCCUUGUCCUCCAGGAGCUCUAAGCCUAAUGUCAAAUACAGACAAGGGAACACAUGAUUAUAACCUGACAUAAUAGCUGUAAUGAUUAAACACAAGUGACUGCAGAGCACAGAGGAAGGCAAUUCAUUCUGUCUGAUGAUCUGAAAGGCUUUCCAGAUUCUAUGACAUAUAGGGAAUGAGCAGAAUUUCUAAGGGAGAAAAGAGUUGGAUGGGGUGGUUUCCUGGGUAGAAGGAACCCCUUGUAAGGUACAGACAUAAAAGCAGAGGGUGAGAUAUGACAUAGAGAUAAAUUGUUUAUGGGUGAAUUGGAGAUGGCAUUGAGAGAAGUGGUGAAGAAUGAAGCUUAUUUUGAAGUUUAAGGUCAGUAUUAUGAAAGAUGACAUAGCCUGUGCUAAGAGUUAGAAUCUGGUUGUAUAGAGAGAAGGAAACGAUAAGUAGUAUAAUAAUUUUAAAAGUAUUUUCAAUGUGCUUUAGAAAGAUCAAUCAAACCACUAAAUGGACAAUUAUUCCUCUAUCUUUGAAUUUGGUUUUUGUAGUAUUAAUGCAAAUUUCAAAGGGUACUCCAAAUAGCCCAAUUUAAUAUGAGUCUUAGGACAUCAGGGCUAAAGAAGAUUGAGAAAUGAUUGAAAUGUUUCCUGGUAUCACAGUAAUUUGCAACAAAUCUCUGUAAUUUGCAUUACGAUACAUGCCAAGCUGCAGUAUGAGACAGCCACAGGUCAUCCCCAAGCCCUGAGUAUGCUGUAUCUGUUGCAUUUAUAUCUUCAUUUCAUGAAGUCUUUCAAAUGAUAUACCUAAGACCAAUUGAAUUCCUAAUCAUAAGAAUUCCUGUCUUUACUGAGUUGAUCACCUCAAUAUGUUUGUGAAGUCAGCUUUUUUUGUUGUUUUCAAUAAAACAAGAUUAGGCACAAACCAUUUUAAAAAUAAUAGAGGAUGCAAAUAGUUCAUGGACAAUGUUAAUGUUCAUUAACAAUAGAAUAUAAACCAAACUAAGUAGAUGUUGUGCAACAGUCUCCAGCUUUGUCCUACUACUGGCCAAGACAGCUUUAACAUUUCCCUCAGCUUGACUAAAUUUAAGUAAGCUUCUUUCUGACUUCAGUCCCUGCCCUCUCUUUGCUUAAAACAUUAACUUUAGAAACUUGCGAUUGUAAAUUCCUCCUCUGCCCAUUAGAGAUAUAAAUUUUCUACAACCUAGAAAUAUCUUUCUCAUCAAAUCAUCAAGAAAGAGUGGGCUCCUUUCUCCCAGUUUCUGAGGGACCGUAAUAGCCUAAUUUAGAUAAGUGACAAUCGGCUAACGCAAAUAGCCUAAUCAUUUUAACCAACCUCCCCCAUCCCAAUGUCCUCUUGUAGUUUUCCGUUAGCUCACGACAGCAUUUAAAUAUCUUCAGCAGAACUGUUCAAUCUCUCUCUUCUAUUGCAAUGGCUAUGAUAUAAAUACUAUGUCUUUAAAAGUAAUAUAACUUAGUUUUUCCCUACAGUUAAUUAUCAACAAAAUCACACAUCAGAAAAGCUUGCUUUAAAAACUUGCAGGUAGAUGCAACGUCUAAUACUAAAUAAUGAAAAAAGCAAGAUUCUUAAAACUCUGCAACCUACCUGGGUCAGUCGGUAGCAGCAGCAGCCUUUAUACUUAUUCAUUUUCAAACAUUUGUUGAAUCCCUUACUGUGUGUUAGUAUUGUUUUUAACAUUUGGGAUAUAUCAGUUAAUUAAACAGAUAAAGAUCCUUGCCCUCAAGGAUCUUACAUUUUAGAAGAGAAGAGCAGACGGAACAGAAAUGUGACAUAAAAAUAAAUUAUAGAUUAUGUUUUACAGUGAAAAGUUCUAUGAAAGAAAAAGGAAAUUAAAGCCAGGUUAAGGGAUGUUUUAAUGAAUUUUACUUGGAGUAAAAUAGGAAAGCUUUACAGGAUUUUUAAUAUGGAUGUGACAUGAUUUUACCCAAAGUUUUAAACAAAAUAGAUAAUUCUGGAUGCUGGGUAGAAAAUAAGCCAUAGGUGGAAAAGGUUAAAAGUAGGAGAUCAGAUGAAAGUUACUGCAGUUUAUCCAGGAAAGACUUUAGCACAAAUGUUAAUAAUAGGUCAGGCGGUAUGUAGUAAUAUGUUCUAGAUAUAUUAACAAUCAAGACAACAAAGUUUCCUAAAAGAGAGGAUGUGAGCUGUGGGAGAAAGGGAGAAAGAAUAAUUAAAAGCUUUUUCGCUUGAAGCAAGUAAUAUGCAGUUGCUAUCAAUUGAGAUGGAGAGGGUUGCAUUUGGAAUAGCAUUUGAGAAAAAGACUAAGAGUUAAGUUUGGGACGUGCAGAUUUUUACGAUUUGAAUGUAUUUCAAGAGUAGCUAUUGAUUUGGAAGUUGAAUAUAUGAUCUUGGAGUUAGGAAGAACUGGGUAGGAGAGAUAAAUUUGAGAGUCACUGACAUAUAAAUGCUAUUUUAAAACCACGAGGUAACACCAAGGGAGUGAGAGAAGAAAAGAUGAAGAAUGACUGAGGAAUGGUCCUUGGUCAUUCCAAGUUUCAGGAAUGAGGAGGAAGAGGGGAGAGGAAAGAGGAAAGUUAGGAGAAACACUAGGAAAGUGUGACAAUCUGCAAGUCAAAUGAAGAAAAUAUAUCAAAAAAGGUACAGUGAGCCUUUGGCUCAGAUAUUGCUGAUAGGUGAGUGGAAUGAUAAUUAAUAAUUGAUCAUUGGAUUUGGCAGUGCAGAGAUCAUUGAUGGCUGUUACCACAUUCGUCUUGGUGGAGUUGGAUAAAUACCUGGUUGGAGUAGAUUUAGGAGAGAAUGGGAAAAAGGAUUUAAAGCAAUACGCCAACUAACCAACAGGCUGCCUUGCUGCCUCUGCUCUGACCCGCAGAAAUGGUCCAGGUUUUUCCUUUUAACAGGUCCCUCAGCUUCAGAUCUGUUGGAGUUUGCCGGAGUUCCACUCCAGAUCCUCAUUGCCUGGCUAUCACCAGCGGAGGCUGCAGAACAGCAAAUAUUGCUGCCUGAUCCUUCCUCUGGAAGCUUUGCCCCAGAGGGUCAGUCGCCUAUAUGAGGUGGAAACACAGAAGUGGAAUCUAGAGGCAGUAGGCCUUGGUGAGCACUUCUAUCAUCAUCUUAAGCAUAAUGAUGGUUGCUCUUCAUUUUCACUCACACCCUCUAACUUGUUCUCAUUUUAUGUGUGGCACCUAAGAGAGUGCUCCUAAUAUAUAAUUUUCUAAAAUGUAAUAACAUACUUCUCAUAAAAAUAUCAAAUGAACAUAUGUUAGUGAUAUUAUUUAACUUGUGAAUUAAUGAAGCAAUGUUAAAACUGGCUCACAUGAGAAUUUAAGGUGGUUAGCUAUUUACAGAAAAUUUAAUAAAGCAAUGCUAGAAUAAGAUUUCUGAAUGAGAUACAACACUAGUUAACAUCCAAUAGGUUAAUAAAACAUAACCUUUGUGGUUAUCUAUUCUUCUGGAAAGAAGUGAUUUGCAUCUCUAUCAGAAGUAAAUCUACAAGUGAAUUUCUGCCCCUUCCAAGCUGUUAAAGAACCCAGUCAAUAAAAAGUCAAUCAAGAGGGCAAACACAGAACUGCUUUGAGAGAACACCCAAUAAUCUCUUUUGUCAUUUCCAUGUUUUCAUAAUAUUUUGACAGUGCCUUGAAAAUAACGGACAUUUAUGAAAUAUAUGUGGAAUUGGAGAAGUAGAGACUGAGUGGAUCUGAAGUCCUUUAUACCGUGGUUUUGGGAUAUCACUAGUUAAAAACUUCUGAUUAAAGGCCAUAUGAAGCUGGGUGUGGUGGCACAUACCUCAGGAAGCUGAGGUGGGAGAAUCACUUGAGCUCAGGAGAACGAGGCUGGAGUGAGCUAUAACUGUGCCACUGCACUCCAGCCUGUGCAAGAGUGAGGCCCCAUCUCUAAAAACAUUAAAAAAAAAAACUAGAUAAAUAAAGGCCAUAUGAUUAUUCUCAAGCAGGCUCCACUAGACAAACAACAAGACCAAGAAGGUCAGGGCACUCAGAAGAGAUGUGUAACUGCUUUCUGAGCAAAGCUGGAUAAAUGGUACUGGGAAAAUAUAAAUAUUAUUGAUCCAUGAUAUCUUAAAAGUUUGAAAGAGAUAAAGGCAUUUUGCACAUUUCUGCAAUUAGAAUGUACUUUUGGCACAUAUCUUGAUGAGUAUACUGCUAUAUAUGAAGCCUCCUACAGAUGGGGGCUUCUUUUUAAGUUGCAUGUUGUGAGAGAUAAUUGAUUAAAAAUUCAAAUUUGAGCAUGGAUGGCCUCAAAAAUCGUGUUUCUAUGUAUUUAUUUUUAUUAUUUAUUCAUCUAUUUAUUUAUUUUUGAGACAGACUGUCACUCUGUCACCCAGGCUGGAGUGUAGUGGCAUGAUCUUGGCUCACUGCAACCUCCGCCUCCAAGGUUCAAGCAAUUCUCCUGCCUCAGCCUCCGAAGUAGCUGGACUACAGAUGUGCACCACCAUGCCUGGCUAAUUUUUGUAUUUUCUGAUAUUAUUAAUAGUAGAGAUGGAGUUUCACCAUUUUGCCCAGGCUGGUCUCAAACCCCUGAGCUCAAGUGAUCAGCCAACUUCAGCCUCCCAAAGUGCUAGGAUUAAAGGUGUGAGCCCAUCAUGCCCAGCCCUCAAUUUAUUUUAUGUUGGUGUCAUU